GAGACAACUCAGUUCUCCUCUAUGAAUUGCCAUCGUAAGUCAACUUGCAACCAUUGCCAUCACCAUCACCUUCUAAUCUAAACUUGAUUUGGUUCUUGAUUGUAUCUCUACAUUUAUGAGAAGUACAUGAAAGGGGUAAGUUUUAUACAUGUUGGAUUAUGCAGUGCUUUAGGCGGAUAAACUAACAUUGGAUCAACUCUGAAAGAGUUGUGCAUGGAUAGUUUCAAUCUCGUUAAUACUAAAGUUAUUUGAGGUCUUUCUGAAGAGUUUAUCAAGGAUUAUGUCAUGGCAUGCAGUCGCAAUCUUAAGGGCCUUGUUUUAAAGGAUUGUAUAAAUUUGCUCGUAGGUUGAAUGUGCUUGACAUUUCGAAUUUGUGCAAAUUGACAGAUUCGUCUCUAGGAUAUUUUAAGAAUAGAUUUCGACAAUUGAGUACUUUGAAGCUCUGCCGCAAUCCAUUCAAUGAUGAGGCAAUUGCUGCUUUUUUGGAGAUAGGUGGAAAAACCUUGAAAGAACUUUCACUUAAUAACAUUUACUCAUCUACCCAAAAUGAAGACUUUUCUACUUUAGAACAAGUGGGUUUCACUAGUUAUGGUCUAAGAAUUUCUUUCUUGAUGCUGAUUGUAUGAUGUUUUGGUGCUUCACUUUGUUUUGCAGCUAUUCAAAAGAUAAGUUUGCUAUUCUUUUCGGUCAUGAGUAUCAAGUGUUUGGAUAAAUGUUUUAUAUACAUCUAAGUAUAUAAUACCUAUACACUGACCAUGGUGCAUACUCCCAGUUUGUACAUGUUUUACAAAACAUAUUACUUAUAUCUUCAUUAUUGGAUUGACGACGGCUGUUAUCAUUUAAUAAUUUGUGAUAGUUAUGUUGUAUAGGCCCGAGCUUUAUAAGUCUAGGGUUUUGGAACUGAAUGCUAGUGAUGAUCGUGGUAUUAAUGUUGUUCGGACUAAGAUUAAAGAUUUUGCGGUCGUGGCUGUCGGUACCAAUCAGAAAAAGAAGAUUAUAGAACCACUUGAUUCUAGGUGUGCCAAGUUCAGGUUCAAGCCAAUGACAGAAGAAAUCAUGAGCAACCGAAUAUUGUACAUCUGCAAAGAAGAAGGAAUCUACCUUGACGCUGAGGUAAGAGCCUUAGAGCAUAUAAAACUGUGUUAUUUUAAUGGUAUGCCUUAAAACCC